AGCGAACGCUGGCGGCAGGCCUAACACAUGCAAGUCGAGCGCUCGUAGCAAUACGAGAGCGGCAGACGGGAGAGUAACACGUGGGAACGUACCCUUUGGUUCGGAACAACACAGGGAAACUUGUGCUAAUACCGAAUAAGCCCUUACGGGGAAAGAUUUAUCGCCAAAGGAUCGGCCCGCGUCUGAUUAGCUAGUUGGUGUGGUAACGGCUUACCAAGGCAACGACGGGUAGCUGGUCUGAGAGGACGAUCAGCCGGAUUGGGACUGAGAUACGGCCCAGACUCCUACGGGGGCAGCAAUUAGGAAUCUUGCACAAUGAGCGAAAGCCUGAUGCAGCGACGUCGCGUGGAGGAUGAAGUC
rnacentral:rRNA from 1 species